rnacentral:rRNA from 1 species
AGAGUUUGAUCCUGGCUCAGAUUGAACGCUGGCGGCAGGCCUAACACAUGCAAGUCGAGCGGCAGCGGGAAAGUAGCUUGCUACUUUUGCCGGCGAGCGGCGGACGGGUGAGUAAUGCCUGGGAAAUUGCCCAGUCGAGGGGGAUAACAGUUGGAAACGACUGCUAAUACCGCAUACGCCCUACGGGGGAAAGCAGGGGACCUUCGGGCCUUGCGCGAUUGGAUAUGCCCAGGUGGGAUUAGCUUGUUGGUGAGGUAAUGGCUCACCAAGGCGACGAUCCCUAGCUGGUCUGAGAGGAUGAUCGGCCACACUGGAACUGAGACACGGUCCAGACUCCUACGGGAGGCAGCAGUGGGGAAUAUUGCACAAUGGGGGAAACCCUGAUGCAGCCAUGCCGCGUGUGUGAAGAAGGCCUUCGGGUUGUAAAGCACUUUCAGCGAGGAGGAAAGGUUGAUGCCUAAUACACAUCAGCUGUGACGUUACUCGCAGAAGAAGCACCGGCUAACUCCGUGCCAGCAGCCGCGGUAAUACGGAGGGUGCAAGCGUUAAUCGGAAUUACUGGGCGUAAAGCGCACGCAGGCGGUUGGAUAAGUUAGAUGUGAAAGCCCCGGGCUCAACCUGGGAAUUGCAUUUAAAACUGUCCAGCUAGAGUCUUGUAGAGGGGGGUAGAAUUCCAGGUGUAGCGGUGAAAUGCGUAGAGAUCUGGAGGAAUACCGGUGGCGAAGGCGGCCCCCUGGACAAAGACUGACGCUCA